GAUGAACGCUGGCGGCGUGCCUAACACAUGCAAGUCGAGCGAACCCUUCGGGGUGAGCGGCGGACGGGUGAGUAACGCGUGGGUAACCUGCCCUAUACACACGGAUAACGUACCGAAAGGUACGCUAAUACGAGAUAACAUAUUUUUAUCGCAUGGUAGAAAUAUCAAAGCUCCGGCGGUAUAGGAUGGACCCGCGUCUGAUUAGCUAGUUGGUGAGGUAAUGGCUCACCAAGGCGACGAUCAGUAGCCGACCUGAGAGGGUGAUCGGCCACAUUGGAACUGAGACACGGUCCAAACUCCUACGGGAGGCAGCAGUGGGGAAUAUUGCACAAUGGGCGAAAGCCUGAUGCAGCAACGCCGCGUGAGCGAUGAAGGCCUUCGGUCGUAAAGCUCUGUUCUCAAGGAAGAUAAUGACGGUACUUGAGGAGGAAGCCCCGGCUAACUACGUG
rnacentral:rRNA from 1 species